CCUGAUCGCUCAGAGGGUAAAGCAUCUGCCUGCAGUGUAGGAGACCUGGGUUCGAUUCCUGAAUCAGGA
rnacentral:tRNA from 1 species